rnacentral:rRNA from 1 species
UUUGCCAACUAUAGGAUCAUGAACAUACACACAAUCCCAUCUGAUUUUGGAAGCCAAACAAAAUCAGAUCCUGUUAUGACUUGAGAGUGAGACUGUCUGAAACCCUGGAGAGCUGCUGACAGAC